rnacentral:tRNA from 1 species
AGUGGUAUAGCUCAGUGGUAGAACACAUGCUUAGCAUGCACGAGGUCCUGGGUUCAAUUCCCAGUACUUCCA